CGCCUCUUGCUUCAGUGAAUAAGAGGUCACGCCUGCCCUGUGACUAUAUGUUUAACGGCCGCGGUAUUUUGACCGUGCAAAGGUAGCGCAAUCACUUGUCCUUUAAAUGUGGACCUGUAUGAAUGGCAUAACGAGGGCUUAGCUGUCUCCUUUCUCAAGUCAAUGAACUUGAUCUCCCCGUGCAGAAGCGGGGAUAAAACCAUAAGACGAGAAGACCCUAUGGAGCUUUAGACAAAAAACAGCCCCUGUCAAUAAACCCUAAAUAAAGGAAAUAAACCUAGUGAACCUGUUUUAAUGUCUUUGGUUGGGGCGACCGCGGGGUAACAAAAAACCCCCAUGUGGAAUGAAAACACCCUUUUUAAAACCAAGAGUCACCACUCUAAGUUACAGAACAUCUGACCAAUAAUGAUCCGGCUAAAGCCGAUUAACGAACCGAGUUACCCUAGGGAUAACAGCGCAAUCCUCUUUUAGAGUCCAUAUCGACAAGAGGGUUUACGACCUCGAUGUUGGAUCAGGACAUCCCAAUGGUGCAGCCGCUAUUAAAGGUUCGUUUGUUCAACGAUUAAAGUCCU
rnacentral:rRNA from 1 species